GACGAACGCUGGCGGCGCGCCUAACACAUGCAAGUUGAACGAGCGAGAGAGAGCUUGCUUUCUCAAGCGAGUGGCGAACGGGUGAGUAACGCGUGAGGAACCUGCCUCAAAGAGGGGGACAACAGUUGGAAACGACUUCUAAUACCGCAUAAGCCCACGACCCGGCAUCGGGUAGAGGGAAAAGGAGCAAUCCGCUUUGAGAUGGCCUCGCGUCCGAUUAGCUAGUUGGUGAGGUAACGGCCCACCAAGGCGACGAUCGGUAGCCGGACUGAGAGGUUGAACGGCCACAUUGGGACUGAGACACGGCCCAGACUCCUACGGGAGGCAGCAGUGGGGAAUAUUGCACAAUGGGGGAAACCCUGAUGCAGCGACGCCGCGUGGAGGAAGAAGGUCUUCGGAUUGUAAACUCCUGUUGUUGAGGAAGAUAAUGACGGUACUCAACAAGGAAGUGACGGCUAACUACGUG
rnacentral:rRNA from 1 species